rnacentral:tRNA from 1 species
AGAUAGUGAAUGGUACACCAUGUUUGUUACGGUGCAAAAUGAUAAUUUAUCUG